GCCUCACUGGCUCGGUCAGUGGAACAUGAGACUCUCGAUCUCAGGUUUGUGGGUUCAAACCCCACGUUGGGUG
rnacentral:tRNA from 1 species